UGGUAUGUGCCAGGCCCCGGUCGAUCGCGGUCUGCACAUUUAAAUGGGAAGCCGGUGCGCCCGCAGGGCCAUGCCGGCGCUGCCCCCGCAACGGUAGUCGAGGUCAAGGUAGUGCAAGCAGCCACUGUGCACACGCAUGGGAAGGCGCACCGCCAGGAGCAAUCCACUCGUCAGCCCGGAAACCAGCCAGCAGCGGUCAACACGU
rnacentral:ncRNA from 2 species